UUGAGGUCCCCGGCGGGAGUGGAGUUUCAUUUGGCCAGGAGAGGGGCGAGUUGAAGUGCCCGGCGGGAGUGGAGUUUCAUUUGGCCAGGAGAGGGGCGAGUUGAAGUCCCCGGCGGGAGUGGAGUUUCAUUUGGCCAGGAGAGGGGCGAGUUGAAGUCCCCGGCGGGAGUGGAGUGAACUGGUAGGCAUCAGGUAAAAAAUGUGGAACCAAGGAAAGUGUGUUUCAGACUACUCAAGUGAGGGGUCCUCCUACAACACCAGACACAAGAGAGAGAGUAAAAAAUAGAAGAAGGUGGAAGAACUCGUCCCUUAAUCAUGAUUUCACAGAAGCCACAACCUUCACAGUAACUGAAGUGACGUUAAACGGCAGUUGGAAAACAUGGAUGCGUUUGAGGGUCUCCACAGUGUCCGGCUGUCCUCCUCUCCACCCCUUGCCUCUGUCACCAAUCCAGGGUAUGAGGUUCUCGUAUCAGCCAGAUCUGGUAUUCAGGUGUACUCCAACACCACGUUCUAUGGUAAACCCAGUGUUCUAGAGCAGGCUCAGAAGAGAGGGAGAGCCAAAUAUCACUCCCACCGAGAGGAGACUAAAGAAGAGAGGUGUGAGGUUGGAAGGUUGGUAGACCUGGAGCCAGGUCCAAUCCCCAGGGUGGAGGGUGGAGGGCAGGGUGACCCCAGGCCCACCAGGCCCCAGGAGCAGCGUACCCAGGCCAGGGGGAGAGAGGGGAGCAGGCUGGAGCGUGCUGCCCAGCUGGAGGGUGCCCGGGGCGGGGAGCAUGAAGACAAUGUGUCCCGCCUCCGGAGCUCUUCCCUGGAGAUCAGAGAGAAGGGAUCAGAGAUCCUCAGAGAGCAGCUAGAUGCUGCACAGAAGGUGUCUGAGGCCCAUCUUGUUAUUCAGUACACCUCUUCUAUUCUGACCCAGUACUACACUACACCUCUUCUAUUCUGACCCAGUACUACACCUCUUCUAUUCUGACCCAGUUCUACCCUGCACCUCUUCUAUUCUGACCCAGUACUACCCUACAACUCUUCUAUUCUGACCCAGUACUACACUACACCUCUUCUAUUCUGACCCAGUUCUCCUCUACAGCUAUUCUAUUCUGACCCAGUUCUACCCUACAACUCUUCUAUUCUGACCAGUUCUACUCUACAGCUCUUCUAUUCUGACCAGUUCUACUCUACAGCGCUUCUAUUCUGACCCAGUUCUACCCUGCACCUCUUCUAUUCUGACCCAGUUCUACCCUACA
rnacentral:lncRNA from 13 species